rnacentral:rRNA from 1 species
UGGGGAAUAUUGCACAAUGGGCGCAAGCCUGAUGCAGCCAUGCCGCGUGUGUGAAGAAGGCCUUCGGGUUGUAAAGCACUUUCAGCGAGGAGGAAGGUGGUGAACUUAAUACGUUCAUCAAUUGACGUUACUCGCAGAAGAAGCACCGGCUAACUCCGUGCCAGCAGCCGCGGUAAUACGGAGGGUGCAAGCGUUAAUCGGAAUUACUGGGCGUAAAGCGCACGCAGGCGGUUUGUUAAGUCAGAUGUGAAAUCCCCGGGCUCAACCUGGGAACUGCAUUUGAAACUGGCAAGCUAGAGUCUCGUAGAGGGGGGUAGAAUUCCAGGUGUAGCGGUGAAAUGCGUAGAGAUCUGGAGGAAUACCGGUGGCGAAGGCGGCCCCCCUGGACGAAGACUGACGCUCAGGUGCGAAAAGCGUGGGGAGCAAACAGGAUUAGAUACCCCUGGUAGUCCACGCUGUAAACGAUGUCGAUUUUGGAGGUUGUGCCCUUGAGGCGUGGCUUCCGGAGCUAACGCGUUAAAUCGACCGCCUGGGGAGUACGGCCGCAAGGUUAAAACUCAAAUGAAUUGACGGGGUCAUAGCUG